UACGGAGGGUGCAAGCGUUAAUCGGAAUUACUGGGCGUAAAGCGCACGUAGGUGGUUUGUUAAGCCAGCUGUGAAAUCCCCGGGCUCAACCUGGGCACUGCAGUUGGAACUGGCAAGCUAGAGUAGGGUAGAGGGGUGUGGAAUUCCAGGUGUAGCGGUGAAAUGCGUAGAUAUCUGGAGGAACAUCAGUGGCGAAGGCGACACCCUGGACUCAUACUGACACUGAGGUGCGAAAGCGUGGUGGAGCAAACGAGG
rnacentral:rRNA from 1 species